rnacentral:rRNA from 1 species
UGGGGAAUAUUGCGCAAUGGGGGAAACCCUGACGCAGCGACGCCGCGUGCGGGAUGAAGGCCUUCGGGUUGUAAACCGCUUUUGAUUGGGAGCAAGCCUUUUGGGUGAGUGUACCUUUCGAAUAAGCGCCGGCUAACUACGUGCCAGCAGCCGCGGUAAUACGUAGGGCGCAAGCGUUAUCCGGAAUUAUUGGGCGUAAAGGGUGCGUAGGUGGUCUUUCAAGUCGGUGGUUAAAGGCUACGGCUCAACCGUAGUUAGCCUCCGAAACUGGAAGACUUGAGUGCAGGAGAGGAAAGUGGAAUUCCCAGUGUAGCGGUGAAAUGCGUAGAUAUUGGGAGGAACACCAGUAGCGAAGGCGGCUUUCUGGACUGCAACUGACACUGAGGCACGAAAGCGUGGGUAGCAAACAGG